rnacentral:tRNA from 1 species
GCUUUGAUAGCUCAGUUGGUAGAGCAUUGCACCGGUAUCGCAAAGGUCGUGGGUUNGAAUCCCGUUCAAAGUC